AUGUCAAUGUGGUUUUUUAUCCCAAAUAAGAUAUUUGACCAACUUGGUGGCCUAUCUUUCUUACUGAAAUGUAAUUUUCUGCCUGGUAAGUUACCUAUUUCCUUAUCUAACUUCCACCAUCAAUGUCUUCUUUCCUGGAAAUUGUGUUUUGUCCAUGGAUUCUCCCCCCAUAAAGUUCUCCUUUGGAAUAAUGCUGAUAUAACGGUUAGAAAUAAAUCACUUUUUUUCCCUAGAUGGUUUAAUAAUAACUUGAACUCUAUUCUAUCUGUGUUUGACAAGUCUGGUAAUAUUUUAACUUACAAACAAUUUAUGAAUCUUCAUAAUUUUCCAGUCCCACCAAAGGAAUAUAAUAAUUUGAUGAGAGCCAUCCCAGUAGGUUUAACUCAGUUAAUUUCAAGUCACCUUAAAUUCAGUAAAGGCAACAGUGUUUAUCCGGCUUUAAGUUUGGGGGGUAUUGGUAUAUUAGAUCGGAAAUGCAAUAACAGACAUAUCCGCAAUAUUUUUCAGACAAAAAGAAAGAUUGUUCCAAGAGGGAAAUUCUAUUGGGGUUCCUUUUUAACAAAUAUAAAUUGGAGAAAGGCCUGGCUCCUACCAAGUAAAUUUUGCAUUUCUAAUAAGGUAAAGGAGAUCCAUUAUAAAAUCCUUCAUAAAAUUUACCCCGUUAAUCUGUCAAUCUCAAAAUAUUCUAAUGUCGAUGAAUCAUGCUCGUUUUGUGGUUUUGUGGAGGAAACAGCUGCCCAUUUGUUUUUUGAUUGCGGUGUUACAAACAAAUUAUGGGGUGACAUAAGCACCUACAUUUCUAACCUUACAAAUGUGUCCCACACUUUUAUCCUCAAAGAUGUUAUCUUUUAUUAUGAAAAUCCAAAGCUAUUAUCUGUUGAAUAUGUUGUUAAUUUUCUUAUAUUGAAUGCAAAAUUUUUCAUUCAUAAACAGAAAUGGCUUAAGUCUCCUUUGUCUUUCCCCCUUUUUCUUAUGGAAUUGGACUCUCUUGUUUCAUCUCUUAGACUUACAGAGAACAAAAAGAGUAGCAAGUUUUUGAUGUAUUUUGACAACUUUUCCAAAAGAAUGUAA
rnacentral:lncRNA from 1 species